rnacentral:rRNA from 1 species
AUGGCUGUACCACCCUGAACACGCCCAAUCUCGCCUGCUCUCAGAAGCUAAGCAGGAUUGAGCCUGGUCAGUACUUGGAUGGGAGACCUCCUGGGAACACCAGGUAGGCUUUU